rnacentral:rRNA from 1 species
UACGGAGGAUCCAAGCGUUAUCCGGAUUCAUUGGGUUUAAAGGGUGCGUAGGCGGAAUAGUAAGUCAGUGGUGAAAUCCUACAGCUUAACUGUAGAACUGCCGUUGAUACUGCUAAUCUUGAGUAUAGAUGAAGUGGGCGGAAUGUGUCAUGUAGCGGUGAAAUGCUUAGAUAUGACACAGAACACCGAUUGCGAAGGCAGCUCACUAAACUAUAACUGACGCUGAGGCACGAAAGCGUGGGGAGCAAACAGG